UACGGGAGGCAGCAGUGGGGAAUAUUGCACAAUGGGGGAAACCCUGAUGCAGCCAUGCCGCGUGUGUGAAGAAGGCUUCGGGUUGUAAAGCACUUUCAGCGAGGAGGAAAGGAAGUAGAUUAAUACUCUGCUUCUGUGACGUUACUCGCAGAAGAAGCACCGGCUAACUUCGUGCCAGCAGCCGCGGUAAUACGAGGGGUGCAAGCGUUAAUCGGAAUUACUGGGCGUAAAGCGUGCGUAGGCGGUUUGUUAAGCAAGAUGUGAAAGCCCCGGGCUCAACCUGGGAACUGCAUUUUGAACUGGCAGGCUAGAGUACUGUAGAGGGUGGUGGAAUUUCCAGUGUAGCGGUGAAAUGCGUAGAGAUUGGAAGGAACAUCAGUGGCGAAGGCGGCCACCUGGACAGAUACUGACGCUGAGGCACGAAAGCGUGGGGAGCAAACAGGAUUAGAUACCCUGGUAGUCCACGCCGUAAACGAUGUCAACUAGCUGUCUGUGGACUUGAUCCGUGGGUAGCGUACUAACGCGCUAAGUUGACCGCCUGGGGAGUACGGCCGCAAGGUUAAAACUCAAAUGAAUUGACG
rnacentral:rRNA from 1 species